UCCAGUCCUGACUGCAUGCACAC
rnacentral:piRNA from 1 species